GGGGAUUUAGCUCAGUGGUAUAAGUGCCUGCCUGGCAAGCACGAGGUCAUGGGUUCAAUCCUUAGUACCAA
rnacentral:tRNA from 1 species